rnacentral:rRNA from 1 species
GAUGCAUAGCCGACCUGAGAGGGUGAUCGGCCACACUGGAACUGAGACACGGUCCAGACUCCUACGGGAGGCAGCAGUAGGGAAUCUUCCGCAAUGGGCGAAAGCCUGACGGAGCAACGCCGCGUGAGUGAUGAAGGUCUUCGGAUCGUAAAACUCUGUUAUUAGGGAAGAACAUAUGUGUAAGUAACUGUGCACAUCUUGACGGUACCUAAUCAGAAAGCCACGGCUAACUACGUGCCAGCAGCCGCGGUAAUACGUAGGUGGCAAGCGUUAUCCGGAAUUAUUGGGCGUAAAGCGCGCGUAGGCGGUUUUUUAAGUCUGAUGUGAAAGCCCACGGCUCAACCGUGGAGGGUCAUUGGAAACUGGAAAACUUGAGUGCAGAAGAGGAAAGUGGAAUUCCAUGUGUAGCGGUGAAAUGCGCAGAGAUAUGGAGGAACACCAGUGGCGAAGGCGACUUUCUGGUCUGUAACUGACGCUGAUGUGCGAAAGCGUGGGGAUCAAACAGGAUUAGAUACCCUGGUAGUCCACGCCGUAAACGAUGAGUGCUAAGUGUUAGGGGGUUUCCGCCCCUUAGUGCUGCAGCUAACGCAUUAAGCACUCCGCCUGGGGAGUACGACCGCAAGGUUGAAACUCAAAGGAAUUGACG